CCGGGGCCGAGGAAAGUCCGGACUCCAUGAAAGAACGGUGCCGGGUAAUGCCCGGCCGGGGUAACCCGAGGGAAAGCGCCACAGAAAAGAAACCGCCCGGUCUUCGGACCGGGUAAGGGUGAAACGGUGGGGUAAGAGCCCACCGCGGACUUGGCAACAAGGACGGCACGGCAAGCCCCACCGGGAGCAACGCCAAAUAGGGACCUCGCGCGGGGUUGGUCCGCAAGGAUACCGCCCGCAGGGUGAUUUCAGCCCGAGAGGUCCGGGUUGGCAGCUAGAACCCUCCGGUAACGGCGGGUCGAGAGGAAUGGUCAUCCAGCCCCGGAUCACGGUCCGGGGUGGACAGAAUCCGGCUUACAGGCCAUCCGCGCAU
rnacentral:RNase_P_RNA from 1 species